rnacentral:rRNA from 1 species
UUCGCAAUGCCCGAAAGGGUCUGACCUAUCCCUGGAGGAAGCACGGGCUAAGUUCGUGCCAGCAGCCGCGGUAAGACGAACCGUGCGAACGUUGUUCGGAAUCACUGGGCUUAAAGGGCGCGUAGGCGGGCCGCAAAGUCAGGGGUGAAAUCCUCCAGCUCAACUGGAGAACUGCCCUUGAUACUGGCGGCCUGGAGUAAGGUAGGGGCAUGCGGAACUGAUGGUGGAGCGGUGAAAUGUGUUGAUAUCAUCAGGAACUCCGGUGGCGAAAGCGGCGUGCUGGACCUUUACUGACGCUGAGGCGCGAAAGCCAGGGGAGCAAACGGGAUUAGAUACCCCGGUAGUCCUGGCCCUAAACGAUGGGCACUAAGUAGUGGGGUUUUAAUC